UGUGUUGCUUACCUACGUAAAGGAAUUCGAUCGUUCGGUUGCCCCUCUCCGCCCCAUGCCCUGUGCGGGUGUGGGGNGGACAUCAGGCCGGCUCCGUGUUUCCUGGCAUGCCUCGCCCAGCUGCUUGGCUGCCUUGGCGCACGGUGCUCGUUGCCCGUUCUCUCGGAUGCGGAACGUCAUGCGCGGGUGCGGGGGCCUCGGCCUUCGCUAGCCCGAGCUACGCAUUUGUCCCUUGACACGAACGACGGUCGCCCCCGUCUUGACCCCGCGGCCUUCGGGCCGUCGGGGCUCAUGCGGGCGUCGACGUCGGCGAGGAAUGCUACCUGGUUGAUCCUGCCAGUAGUCAU
rnacentral:misc_RNA from 1 species